GAAAGCUUCUGUUUGUAUGUAUAAGGCAAUGUGCAUGCCAGCAUGUCAGUUACAGCAGGAGAGAGGGAACAAGCCAUGUGGGAACUGAUGGAGCCAUGUCACAUCCAGUGUCCUCUGCAGCCGCUAUGGAGUGCCAGGAGGAAUGAGGGGCAAAUGGUAAGAUCUUUAUGACGUGAGAGAAGCCAGGUGCGGAGCAGGGAACAGUCAGGUUUAAUUGGUGUGAAGAACAGGAUCACUGAAAAAUAUUUUCUCAUAGAUAAAACUCUUUUUGUAUAAAAGUCUACAGAAUUGCGAUAGGAAACCCAUAAUCAUGGUUUCAAGUGGGCAGAGAACUAGGCUCUGGCGUCAGGGGAGGAAGGGGAACUGUUCACUGUCAACACCUUUUAGGACGUUUCCAUUGGGAUCGAAGGGUGGCUCACUCUGCCACUUUGACAUAAGAAUCACUUCUACCUAAGGCACUUGAAAAAUGGCACAGGCAAGAGCAUCAUCGGAUCUCUCCUUUUCUUCCUGAAGACAGGAGAUAAAAACGCUCAGGUGAAAGAUGCCUUCCCUGUACCGGGCGAAGAAAGAUUCCUCUACAGGGAAGCACGUCAUAGCCAACAGAAUUCUGUACAGACAUUAAAGUAAUUAAAGUAAUUCCUGUCGUUCUUAA
rnacentral:lncRNA from 1 species